ensembl:lncRNA
GACCUCAAUAUACAUCUAAGCUCCUGGAUUCUUCAUCAUUAGCAGCAGUGAUGGCUGAAAUGCUUCAACAG